UGUGUAACAACUCACCUGCCGAAGGUACUAGCCCUUAAAAUGGAUGGCGCUUAAGUCGUCUGCCUAUACACCGCCGCUACGGCACAGGCGGUUGCGUACUUGUGCGCAGCCGCAUUAGGCCGUAGUGAGUAGGAGGGUACAAUGGUGUGCGUCGAAGCUUUGGACGUGAGUCCGAGUGGAGCCGCCAUUGGCACAGAUCUUGGUGGUAGUAGCAAAUAAUCGAAUGAGACCUUGGAUGACUGAAGUGGAGAAGGGUUCCGUGUGAACAGUGGUUGAUCACGGGUUAGUCGGUCCUAAGCACCAAGCGA
rnacentral:rRNA from 1 species